GACGAACGCUGGCGGCGUGCUUAACACAUGCAAGUCGAACGGAAAGGCCCUGCUUUUGUGGGUUGCUCGAGUGGCGAACGGGUGAGUAACACGUGUGUAACCUGCCCUUGACUUUGGGAUAACUUCAGGAAACUGGGGCUAAUACCGGAUAGGAUCUCCUGCUGCAUGGUGUGGGUUGGAAAGUUUCGGCUGUUGGGGAUGGACUCGCGGCUUAUCCGCUUGUUGGUGGGGUAGUUGCUUACCAAGGCUUAGACGGGUAGCCGGCCUGAGAGGGGGACCGGCGACAAGGGGACUGAGAGACGGCGCAGAAGCGUACGGGGGGCAGCAGUGGGGAAUAUUGCACAAUGGGCGGAAGCCAGAAGCAGAAGCGCCGCGUGCGGGAUGACGGCCUUCGGGUUGUAAACCGAUUUCGCAUGUAACGAAGAGUGAGUGACGGUAAUGGGUAAAGAAGCACCGGCUAACUACGUG
rnacentral:rRNA from 1 species